UUGGCACAGUGUGAAACUCGGCAAAGCCUGACCUAGCCCAACUCGGGUCCGCUUGCCUGGUGCGUCGGGGCUGACGGUUGGUUCGCUGUGUUCGUAACCGCCGACGAUGUGGGAUGAUUUUCACGUGUGUCGUACGUGGGUGGGUGUGUGUGUGUGUGUGUGCGCGCGCGUGUGCGUGUGCCCGCUACAUUCUCGCUUGUGUUGGUAAAACAGCCACAAAUGCAGGCCGAGGUGCAUUUCUCCGCGAUGCGCUUCCCAUCGACCCGCUCCCUGCGUUCGCGGUCCUCCUCUUUUCUGCAUUUCCCUGGGACUACCUCUCUCUCGAACUUCCGCGCCGUCGCCGCCGCCGCCGCCGCCGACGCCGCUGCCGCUUUCAACCCCUUCGACCCCCUUCGCCAUAUCGAAAACCAGCUGCAACAACCCCCGCUCCAUUUUCUCCUACCCAUUCUCUACCUUGAUGCACCUCAACAAGCGAACACCGCGCGGAGGAGAAGGAACACCGAUAAACACGCCUGCGCUUUAACGUCGCGCUACCCUCCAUUACUUCUUCCCUUCUCCCUCUUUCCAUCCCCUUUUUUUUAUUUCCUUUUUUUUUUUUCUUUUUUUUUUAUUCAAACAAAUUCACAGCGUUGUGCAAUAGAUGACGCGAAGAUCAUCAUCGGCCAACACCUGCAUCCCGACUGCGCUUCCAUGCUUUCGAAUUUUUGUUUCAAGUUCGCGAUAAAUAUCGGUGGAACGUCGUUACAGAAUAAUUAAAGAUACGCCUUGCACGUCGGUCCUGUGUGUGCGGUAAAAACCAAAUAGCAGAAAAAAAAAAAAAAACGAUCCCCCGCAAAUCGAAAAACGAUAUCAGGGAUACGUAAAAUAGAACAUGAGUUUCGAUGACAUCACGUGUCCGGUGAUUCUGAUUAUCCACGAUUUCAGGAUCGUUGUCCAGCCAAAGCGAGGGCACAGCCUUCGAGGAAAGCGACGAUUAUCGUUUCCAAAAUCGCGUGCCUUUCAAUCCGGGUGUCGUGAAGAGAAUCGAUCGUUACGCAAUAUACAAAAAGCUCUAAACUGCAUCACGUAAGCGAGAGUCAGCCGAUGCUGCCGAUGCUCGUGGUGCAACGGGGGAACGGAUGAAAAUAUAAACUGCACAACGGUAGUGCAGCGGACGGAAGACCGUGACCUUACCAUCGAGGUCGGGGUUGGGCGUGUACGGGACAAAGCAAUCGCCAAUUUUGGUUUCAAACUAAAAAUGAAGAACAUUCGACGCUUUUCCUUCGACCGAAUCGACCGUAUUUCGACAAAUUUGCCCACGGAUUCGAAAGAGACCGGAAAAAAAGGAAGAAGAAAGUACAACGAUCCGAUGCUUCGGUGAACUUUUCCUCAUCUCCUUCCCUGUAUGCAAACCCCCCGGGUCCCCCUUCGGAGUGGCGGCAAUGGUGUCGGUGACCCAGGAGUCGAAGAAGUUGCGCGGGACGUACGAGGCGGCGGCGGCGGCGGCGGCGGCUCCGGCCCCGGCCGUACUACGUUGGCAAAAGUACAAGUGGUAGCGGUCAGCGGCUCGUCAGACGCGCCCGGCCAGUAGCGCAUCCAGGGUCAGGUCCGGCGAAACGGCGCGUAGACGCCAGACGAGCAGCGGAGAGCGGCGCGCUAGAACGCGAGAAAAUUCGAGGGUCGGCCGAAUUCGGCUGUGCGUGCACGCGGCGCAAUAGGGUACGCCGAGAAGAAGGCGGCGACGAAAUUACACCCCUUGUCGAAUAAACCGCGAGGACGUGCGAGACCGAGGGGGGAAAAGUUAGGGGGAUGCCGGCGGCUCGGGGUGGCGACGGAGAGGGCGAGAAAAACGGUGUACAACCCCGGGAGGGACGCAGAGUUCGACGAGGAGAGAGAGAGAGAGAGAAAAAAAAAUAAAUAAAGAGAGGCUUUCGAAGAUUUCGGUGUAACGGAUUAACGGCGAGGGAGAGGCCGAGGAUCGUCGGCGACCUCCGGCAGCGUCUCGUUUCUUUUCGUUUCGCGUUUCGUUUGGAAAAGCAACGGGCCUCGGAGCGUCGCGGAGCGCCGCGAACCCAUCGUCAAGUAGUAGAGCAACGACUCGAGUCAGCCGAGCUAGUGAGUUAGGUGACCGCUAUAAUGAUUUCGCUACCUGGCCUGGCUUCGCACUUCGGUCGUUGAACUCUCUCUACUCUCUUGCGCCGCGUAACCCAUUUUGUAAUAGCACACUUUGUUCAACCGGCACGCCGGAUCCUUAUUUUUUUUUAACACCUAUAGCUGCGUAGUCGCAUCUAGCCGCGGACUACGAAGACUGUCUCCACUUUUUUUGUUUUUUUUUUCUUCUCUUCUCCCCUUAUUUUCUUUCUCUCCAACUUUUUCCGCUUCUUCUGAUUCCUUUUUUUUUUGCGCUCUAAGCGAAACGAGUCUCCUCCGAUUCUUUUUUUCUGUCUCGAAAAAAAUCAUCUUUCGGUUUUCAAAAUCUGACCAGAAUCGAAAGAAUUCUCUGUCGAUCAUUUUUCUGCGAACAAAUUUCUUUAGUUUAUUCUUCAAUCUUUUUCGUGAUUUGAUUUUUAUUCUUUUGACUCGCAUUCGAUUUAUAAUUUACGUGGUCACGCGAUCGGAAUUGUAGCGUUUCUUUGCCGAUUGUCGAAAUUUGUAGAAAAUUAAAAAAUCCCAUGAUUCGAAUGUGAGAAAAUUGACGUUAUUUUAAACUUUCAUAUAGGAGCAUAAUCGUGACGUCGUCGAUGACUGGAAUAUGGACGCUCGUCAUUAUUCUAGUUUAUAUUAAUAUUACCGUCAUUUAUUCUUAAACUACAAAGAAAAGAAAAGAUUUUCUUUUCUUUCUCUUCUUUUUCACCAAGUUCGCCGUACAAACGAGCGCGGAAUUUCCCUUGACCGACUUAUCAUUUUCACUCAUCAUAGAUGCAUUCGACUAUGUUAUGUUCUCCGAUAUACGUACGUAUACAUACGUAUGUACCUGUACAUCCAUGACCGGAAGGAUCUGAAAUUGCGGUAUUUUAAUUGUUCGUAAAUCGAUCGAAUUUUUUCGUCAUUAGGACUCCGGUAAAAAUUGAGUAAAAGUUCGUUAGAUGCGUAAAUAUUUUUAUCCAUCUGUAUUAUAAAUUUUCUAUAAACUACGAACGUUGGAUAACAUUUAUGUAUAUCAAUAUGUAACACGAACGACUCCAGAUAUAUUGUUGUUCCCGUUGCUCAGGUG